GUCGAGAUCACCCUCUUUGGUCCGGGGUGCAGGCUUCAAACCUGUAGCCGAUUAGGAUCGGAGCGGUUCGAUUCCGCCUUCUCGGC
rnacentral:tRNA from 1 species